rnacentral:lncRNA from 1 species
CUUUUUCCUUUUAAGGACUUGAAACAACAAAAAGGCGAGUGAAAUCUGCAGGCUCCCGUCUGCCUGGUAACACGCCGACAAAAGCGGCAGAUUUGAGGCAUUGUCAUCCCCCGCACCCCUCCCCACGUGGCCUUCUGGCACGAGCCGCGGCGGCCGCCUCAUUUGCAUCAGAAAGCGGGCGCCGGCCAAUGGGCGCGCAGCCUCGGGCCAGCUGGCGGCGCCCGGGCCCGGCCUAUAUAGGGGCGCGCGGCGCGCCGGGGCCACUCGCCAUCCGUGCGCUCCCCGCUCCCCGCUCCCCGCUCCCCGCUCCCCUGCCCGGCCUCCGCCGCUCCGCCGCCCGCGUGCGCGCCGCUCGCUGCCUGCGUGGAUAACCCGCUGCUCCCGACCGCACCAUGACUCUGGAGGAGAUCCGAGGCCAAGACGCGGUCCCCGAGAGCACCGCCAGAACCCCAAUGAGGACGCGUGGAAGGACCCCGCCUUGGAGAAGCUCAGCGUGUUCUGCGAGGAGAGCCGCAGCGUCAACGACUGGGUGCCCAGCAUCACCCUCCCCGAGUGACCGCGCGGAGGGGGCCUUGGUCUGAUCGACGACGUGGUGGCACCGGGGCGCCUAGCGCGCGGCCGGCUCUGUGGAUGCGCCCUCGGAGCGCGCGGGCCCGGAGAGCUGCGCGGAGAGCGGCGAGGAGCGCGGCCCCUGCAGGAGGGCCCNCGCGAGUGUGGACUCCGCGAGUGUGGGCGGCGGCGGCCUGCCCGGGAAGGCCGGAGGCGGGCCGUGGGCCCCGGGCCGGGAAGGCCGGACCGGCCGGGCGGGCGUGACUCAGCAGCCUGCGCUCUGCGCAGGAAGGAGGGGAGAGGCCAGGCAGGCGAGGCCUGGGCUCCGGACUCUGGACUCGGACGGCUACAGGAGCUCCGACCACGGAGCGGAGCGGCCUGCGCCGCUGUUGCCAAGCGGACGGGGCGAUGCUCCGGUUUCUAGAGGAUUCUGCGGCUGCAGCUUUGGAGUUUUGCUUUUUGAACAAUAAACUAACUGAAACAGGCUUCUUCUCUUUCUUG